rfam:Salmo salar isolate Sally breed double haploid chromosome ssa23, whole genome shotgun sequence.
GGUGCACCACUUUGUAAGUCGCUCUGGAUAAGAGCGUCUGCUAAAUGACGUAAA